rnacentral:rRNA from 1 species
GACGAACGCUGGCGGCGUGCUUAACACAUGCAAGUCGAACGGAAAGGCCCUGCUUUUGUGGGGUGCUCGAGUGGCGAACGGGUGAGUAACACGUGAGUAACCUGCCCUUGACUUUGGGAUAACUUCAGGAAACUGGGGCUAAUACCGGAUAGGAGCUCCUGCUGCAUGGUGGGGGUUGGAAAGUUUCGGCGGUUGGGGAUGGACUCGCGGCUUAUCAGCUUGUUGGUGGGGUAGUGGCUUACCAAGGCUUUGACGGGUAGCCGGCCUGAGAGGGUGACCGGCAACAUUGGGAGUGAGGUACGGCCCAGACUCCUACGGGAGGCGGCAGUGGGGAAUAUUGCACAAUGGGCGGAAGCCUGAUGCAGCAACGCCGCGUGCGGGAUGACGGCCUUCGGGUUGUAGACCGCUUUCGCCUGUGACGAAGCGUGAGUGACGGUAAUGAGUAAAGAAGCACCGGCUAACUA